GGACGCAGCCACCCACAGUUAAAGCUGCCCCAAAAGUGGGGGCCAGGAAGCCAGGACUACAGAGGGACCAAGGGGAUGGCCCAGAGAAGAGGCCAGCUGGGGCCCUAGACAGAGAAAUGUGGGGUGGCAAGGGCUUCAUAUUUCCACUGCUUGGAAAAGAGAAAGCCAAACUCCAGGGGCCCAGACGGAACGUCAUCUGUCUCAUUCACUGUAGUCUCCAGAGCCCAGGACAGGACCUGACACAUGGAAAACAAAAGAUUCAGGAGCCUGGAGGCCGG
rnacentral:lncRNA from 10 species